rnacentral:ribozyme from 12 species
AAGAAAUAUAUAAAGAGGGUUCAUUUUUGUUGUUUUUUGUUUGUCGUCAUCGUGUCCUUUUCAGUCCUCUUUUCUUUCGUUUGGUAUCUUUUUCCUAA